AGAGUUCGAUCCUGGCUCAGGAUGAACGCUGGCGGCGCGCCUAACACAUGCAAGUCGAACGGCACCUGCCCUCGGGCAGAAGCGAGUGGCGAACGGCUGAGUAACACGUGGAGAACCUGCCCCCUCCCCCGGGAUAGCCGCCCGAAAGGACGGGUAAUACCGGAUACCCCGGGGUGCCGCAUGGCACCCCGGCUAAAGCCCCGACGGGAGGGGAUGGCUCCGCGGCCCAUCAGGUAGACGGCGGGGUGACGGCCCACCGUGCCGACAACGGGUAGCCGGGUUGAGAGACCGACCGGCCAGAUUGGGACUGAGACACGGCCCAGACUCCUACGGGAGGCAGCAGUGGGGAAUCUUGCGCAAUGGGGGGAACCCUGACGCAGCGACGCCGCGUGCGGGACGGAGGCCUUCGGGUCGUAAACCGCUUUCAGCAGGGAAGAGUCAAGACUGUACCUGCAGAAGAAGCCCCGGCUAACUACGUGCCAGCAGCCGCGGUAAUACGUAGGGGGCGAGCGUUAUCCGGAUUCAUUGGGCGUAAAGCGCGCGUAGGCGGCCCGGCAGGCCGGGGGUCGAAGCGGGGGGCUCAACCCCCCGAAGCCCCCGGAACCUCCGCGGCUUGGGUCCGGUAGGGGAGGGUGGAACACCCGGUGUAACGGUGGAAUGCGCAGAUAUCGGGUGGAACACCGGUGGCGAAGGCGGCCCUCUGGGCCGAGACCGACGCUGAGGCGCGAAAGCUGGGGGAGCUAACAGGAUUAAAUACCCUGGUAGUCCCAGCCCUAAACGAUGGACUCUAGGUGUGGGGGGGACAAUCCCCC
rnacentral:rRNA from 1 species